CCAGUUCAGGAAGGCUAAGGUCUGCUAUGCGGUGCUAAGAUGGGGAAGGGGGCAUCUAAGAUAACAACACCAAAUUUGAAAAUCGGACAGUGCAGCAUAUGUACUCAAGGGAGAAUAAAUAAUAGGUACAAAAGGAAGAUCAGCACGAAACCGAAUGAGAAAUCUAAGGUAUCUAGUUAGCCUAAGAAGAAAAAGAGAGGAAAAAUGGCAAAAUGUACAUCAGAGAGGAAGCCUCCACCUAGAUCUAUAACAAGUGCAUCUAAAGACAAGAGGGGAAGGCCACAAAAAAUCCUGCCAACAACACUCGAAGAGAAAUUAAUCUUAUACAACCAAGAGACAAAGGAAGAUUCCACCGCCUCUGGGGGUGGGCUUUUUGCUAGUUGGGCUAGGUCAGACUCAAAAAAAUCUGGUUAACUAUGAAGUAAAUUAUUAUACCAACUAAUAUUCAAAUAAGGUAAAAAUAAAAUCAAGCCCA
rnacentral:lncRNA from 1 species